rnacentral:rRNA from 1 species
AGCGGAGGAAAAGAAACUAACAAGGAUUCCCCUAGUAACGGCGAGUGAAGAGGGAAGAGCUCAAAUUUUAAAUCUGCCUUGUUUCAAGGUCGAGUUGUAAUUUGAAGAAGCGUUUUCUUGGGCUCGCGGCCGGUAGAAGUUCUUUGGAACAGGACAUCAUAGAGGGUGACAAUCCCGUCUGCGACCGGUCGUGCGUUCAUCUACGAUACGCUUUCAAAGAGUCGAGUUGUUUGGGAUUGCAGCUCCAAAUGGGUGGUAAACAUCACCUAAGGCUAAAUAUUGGCGAGAGACCGAUAGCGAACAAGUACCGUGAGGGAAAGAUGAAAAGAACUUUGAAAAGAGAGUUAAACAGUACGUGAAAUUGUUGAAAGGGAAACGAUUGAAGUCAGUCGUGCUGGCGCGAAAUCAACCCUCUCGUUGAGAGGUCACAUGGCGUGGCGAGCCUCAAAACCGUCACGAAGCGUGAACUCUUGRYGAAAAGGAGCACUUUCGUGUCCGCUGGUUAACAUCAAUUUCGAACGUCAUAAAAAGGCUGGAGGGAUGUGGCUCCUUCGGGAGUGUUAUAACCUUUAGCGGAAUGUGGUGGUCGGGAUUGAGGAUUGCAACGAAUACCUUUAGGGCUGUUCCACCUGGCUUCUCUUUGGUAUCCUGGUGACGACAGCUUGCUGACGUUGUUAGGAUUCGCCUUUGAACAGGCUAGAGUGUGAGCAAAUUCGUUAAGGAUGUUAACGUAAUGGCUUUAAACGACCCGUCU